GACGAACGCUGGCGGCGUGCCUAAUACAUGCAAGUCGAACGCAGUGGGGACAGGGGAGUAACACGUGGGUAAACUCCCAUCAGAGGGGAUAACACUUGGCAACAGGCGCUAAACACGAUACUGACGGAUGGAGCCGGGGUGUAUUAGGCAGUUGGUGGGGUAACGGCUCACCAAGGCCACGAUCCCUAGCCGACCUGAGAGGGGGACCGGCCACACUGGAACUGAGACACGGCCCAGACUCCUACGGGAGGCAGCAGUAGGGAAUCGUCGGCAAUGGACGAAAGUCUGACCGAGCAACGCCGCGUGAAUGAAGAAGGUUUUCGGAUCGUAAAGCUCUGUUGGUAGAGAAGCGGUAUCUAACCAGAAAGCCACGGCUAACUACGUGCCAGCAGCCGCGGUAAUAC
rnacentral:rRNA from 1 species